rnacentral:rRNA from 1 species
AGAGUUUGAUCAUGGCUCAGGACGAACGCUGGCGGCGUGCCUAAUGCAUGCAAGUCGCACGGGGGGGUUCGCCCUCCAGUGGCGCACGGCUGAGGAACACGUGGGAACGUACCCGCCGGUGGGGGAUAACCGCGCGAAAGCGCGGCUAAGCCCGCAUCCGCUCGCGUGAGCGAGGAAAACGGCAACGUGCCGGCGGCGCGGCCCGCGGCCCAUCAGGUAGUUGGGGCGGUAAUGGCGCACCAAGCCGAUGACGGGUAGCUGGUCUGAGAGGACAGACAGCCAGACUGGGACUGAGACACGGCCCAGACUCCUACGGGAGGCAGCAGAAAGGAAUUUUCGGCAAUGGGCGCAAGCCUGACCGAGCAACGCCGCGUGCAGGAUGACGGCCUUCGGGUUGUAAACUGCUUUUGGUGGGGAUGAUCAUGACCGUACCCGCCGAACAAGCCCCGGCUAACUCUGUGCCAGCCGCCGCGGUAAUAC